GAUGAAGAACGUAGCGAAAUGCGAUAAGUAAUGUGAAUUGCAGAAUUCAGUGAAUCAUCGAGUCUUUGAACGCACAUUGCGCCCCCUGGUAUUCCGGGGGGCAUGCCUGUCCGAGCGUCAUUGCUGCCCUCAAGCACGGCUUGUGUGUUGGGCCUCCGUCCUCCUCCCGGGGGACGGGCCCGAAAGGCAGCGGCGGCACCGCGUCCGGUCCUCGAGCGUAUGGGGCUUCGUCACCCGCUCUUGUAGGCCGGGCCGGCGCUUGCCGACACAUCAAUCUUUUUUCCAGGUUGACCUCGGAUCAGGUAGGGAUACCCGCUGAACUUAAGCAUAUCAAUAAGCGGAGGA
rnacentral:misc_RNA from 1 species